ACGUAGGGUGCGAGCGUUAAUCGGAAUUACUGGGCGUAAAGCGUGCGCAGGCGGUUGUGCAAGACAGAGGUGAAAUCCCCGGGCUUAACCUGGGAAUGGCCUUUGUGACUGCACGGCUAGAGUGUGGCAGAGGGGGGUGGAAUUCCACGUGUAGCAGUGAAAUGCGUAGAGAUGUGGAGGAACACCGAUGGCGAAGGCAGCCCCCCGGGCUAACACUGACGCUCAUGCACGAAAGCGUGGGGAGCAGACAGGA
rnacentral:rRNA from 1 species